GGGGGGGGGGGGGGGGGGGGGGGGGGGGGGCGGGGCGGGGGGGGGGGGGCGGCGGUUGUGGGGUGCGCGGGUGGCGAACGGGUGGGUGACACGUGAGUAACCGGCCCUGGACUUUGGGAUAACUUCAGGGACCUGGGGCUGAUACCGGAUCGGCGCUCCUGCUGCAUGGUGGGGGUUGGAAAGUUUCGGCGGUUGGGGCUGGACUCGCGGCUUAUCAGCUUGUUGGUGGGGUAGUGGCUUACCAAGGCUGUGACGGGUAGCCGGCCUGAGAGGGUGACCGGCCACAUUGGGACUGGGAUACGGCCCAGACUCCUACGGGAGGCAGCAGUGGGGAAUAUUGCACAAUGGGCGGAAGCCUGAUGCAGCAACGCCGCGUGCGGGAUGACGGCCUUCGGGUUGUAAACCGCUUUCGCCUGUGACGAAGCGUGAGUGACGGUAAUGGGUAAAGAAGCACCGGCUAACUACGUG
rnacentral:rRNA from 1 species